UCCAUAAAUUCAAAUGUCAUCAAGUCCUUAUUAUCUAUUUCAUGUGAAAAAAUCUAUAUACGGUUACACCAGGAUUUUCAGGAGGACCAACAGAUUCGAGAUGCACAGCAGAUCAUCCGGGCAGUGAUGCAGAUGCUUCUGCAGAGGUUUUUACAUGGGGAUUUUCAGGAGGAGCAAAAGUUGCUGGAUGCACAGCAGAGACCACAGGCAGCAGUGCAGAUUGAUCGAUGCUGCAGCAGAGCUUCCUUGAGAACCAUUUCUGACAUAAAUACAGGGCUGGAGAUUCUGAUGGGGAGGUAUUCAACUUCUUCAAAAUGCACUCUAAGGUGGCAACAGUGAUCUUCAGUGAGAGGUUUUUUCCAGUGGUGGCUGGCUCAGCGACUGAAAUAUCGGAAGAGCCCUCUCUGUGUGGGGGCUAGUGAGCAUGCAUGUUCAGUUCUUUUUCACAAGGCAAAGCCAACGGCAUACUACUGGUUGAGCCAAUCAGCAAGACAAGAAAGACAGCCUGGCUAGUAGCCAUGUCUGCCGCUCGGGCGGAUAAACCAAUCUGCCUUUCAGUCCCACCUUGCAAAUCCUAAACAUGCGCAUUGUGACCUGUUUUGCUGCAACCACCAGCCUACGAAGCCUAUCAGAAGCAACUUGUGACUGCCCAUUUCAAUGUCAAUAUUGGCCGUCGUCACACGGGCAUCUCUUCCGUUAAAUUUACAGCAUAUAACGUCCUUCCUGUUAUCGGCACAGUAACGUUUCUUUGGGUCACCUAACGGCUCUUCGCGCCACCAGCUGUCCACACCGAAGCACUCUGUUCUGUUCUCUCUAACUGCGCAGAAGCAGCUCCUCCCCCUUUUUUUAUUAUUCUGGCGUUUAAUUCCGCUAUAACGGAAUAACAGCAUAUAAACAUUCGGUUAGAGCAAAACAUUGCGACCCUUUUGUUUUUCCAACUUUGAAAUUAUAUAAAUAGCCCUUUGCCCGCAGAAAACUCCCUGUCUGACGUGAUCCCCAUCGCUGAAGACUCUGCCAUGGCGAUUGAGUCAUUUUUACUUCAGCAGAAAGUUUGCAUAGUGUUAAUGGCGUUAUAAGGACAUAAUAAAAUUUUAAAAAAGGGGGAGUCGCAGGAAGAAAUGGAUUCUGGGAUUGAAGGGAGGGCAUAGGACGUUGCGAGGCGAACUACAUCGAUGUGAGGCCUUCACACUGAGGCACAAAAUAGCGCGACUAUCAAGCACAAAGCAGAAGAGAGAAAAUCGCUACAGGGUUGGAAUAAGGUGGGUGUUUGCUGGGAAAUAGCGCCAUUUUAGCGCUAAAUAAAAGCCCGUGUGACGACGGCCAUUGUCUAUAAUCUCUGCAGCCUUUGAGGCUAGAGAUACCAGGGAUUUACAGCCCAAUCCUAAGAAGGGCACGGAAAGUGAACAGGAACCGAACUAAGGCUUGCGAGGGCGCAUCUAGCCCGUACGCCCGCGUAAGUGGCCUUCCGCCCGCGCUGGGACGUGGCGCUGGCCCGCCGGCGGGCCAGCACCGGUGCAAGCCACAGGCGCCCAGGCGGCGGCGCAGAAGUGGCGUAGAGCCCUACGCCGACGCAGGGGGGGGCGGGGAGCAAGGCGGGGUCAGAGUUAGUCCGCUCCCUAAGCUCCUCCAGAAGCGGGAACGCCCACAGCGGCGCAAAAAAGCUACGCCACGGAAAAAGAAGGCGUAGCCCAUAGGCGUCCAUGGAACGGCGAAAAAUCAGCCCCCUCUCUGAGCGCCUCGCCCCGCCCCUAUGGCCCGAAGGAGCAUAGGAUGAGAACUAUCCCGGGGACCAAUCAGCGUGCGCGCCCGGCGUGGACGAGCCCCCCUCUCUGCACCCAAUCACCUGCGACCGCGCCCUACAAAACAUCCGGCCAGCGCCACCCAAACCCCCAGGUAAGUGAGCACUCGGCCGGAGGCUCUGCCCGUCUGCUGAGUGGCAUUGCCCCUUUGAAAACCGAAACGGGCUGAGGGCAUUCACAUUGGCAGGCGCAGAAUUCACUCCGGGGACUUUGCGAAAAACUGGGGGAACUUCGCAUAAAGGGGAAGAGGUGCAAAUGUCUGCCUAACUCUCUUUCUACCGUGAUAGAAAGAAUGACUCCACAGCUAACUGAUGCAUGCUAGUUGCUUCUAACUAAGCACAAACAAACUAACCCUUCCGUGGCAGAAGGGAAUGACACUUUGCAAAUUAACCGCAUGCUCUCCCGUUUCCUUGCAGGUGCCCUGACUCUGGCGCUCCCACCUGGUGAUGACCGACGGAGCGCUGACAGGCACGUCCAGGGCAUGGCUGCUCCCCCGCGCCCCGCCCUCCCCAAACAUCUCUGACGGACGGUUGGCUGCAGCCCAGGAAGCACCGUCGCGCCGCAGCCUGCAUCCCAGCCCCGCCCCUCCGAGCGGGAAGGAGGGCUGUGUGGAAUGCUCCAGCUCCCUCGCCAGCCUAAACGCAAGCCCGCUCUUUCCAGUGCAAUAAAACGAGAUGUACAACAA